rnacentral:tRNA from 1 species
GCAUUGGUGGUUCAGUGGUAGAAUUCUAGCUUGCCAUGUUGGAGGCCUGGGUUCGAUUUCCAGCCAAGCG